CGUGGAGACAGGUGGUGCAUGGCUGUCGUCAGCUCGUGUCGUGAGAUGCUGGGUUAAGUCCCGCAACGAGCGCAACCCUUGUCCUUGGUUGCCAGCAUUAAGUUGGGCACUUUAAGGAGACUGCCGGUGUCAAACCGGAGGAAGGUGGGGAUGACGUCAAGUCCUCAUGGCCCUUAUGUCCAGGGCUACACACGUGCUACAAUGGUCGAUACAAAGGGUUGCGAAACCGCGAGGUGGAGCUAAUCUCAAAAAGUCGGCCUCAGUUCGGAUUGGAGUCUGCAACUCGACUCCAUGAAGUCGGAAUCGCUAGUAAUCGUGGUUCAGCAUGCCACGGUGAAUACGUUCCCGGGCCUUGUACACACCGCCCGUCACUCCACGAAAGUCUGCUGUACUCGAAGUCGCUGAG
rnacentral:rRNA from 1 species